rnacentral:misc_RNA from 1 species
AAAUAAGAUGGUUGAGAUCUCCAACUGGAUUUAAACAAAAAAGUACCAGCCAGCUUAGUGCUUACAGAUAGAUUCAUUUAAAACAGUACAAUUAAAUCAAAUUGAUUUUUUCUCAGAAAUUAAAACCCUCCAACAAAAAUAGUGUCAGACAAUAAUAUAGUGAUAGUACUUGAUGAGCAAAAUGCAAGUUGUCUUGCAAGCCGAAUCAAUUAGAUCUGCAUGGGCCUUAUGUUUUCUGUUAUCUCAUGUAUCUUCGGCCAUGAGGCAAUCUGUAUCAGGGCUAUAAGCCCUUUUUUAAUCAAUGCAAUAUAUUUUCACAAAAAAAAAUCUGCAUGGUUCCCUGCAAAAGCAGAGUAGAACUAGAUUUGACACCUGGGAUUCAAGCUUUGAUUUGUGUGAAGAACACCUAGCCCUAUUAAACAAAUAACUAUAAUAUCACUCUGCACGAUGGGAAUCUAGAUCUACACUUAAAAUUCAACCAGUUGAGUUCGCUGCAUAAAAGCAAACGCAGACCACGUGCAACCAGUGGUCCACAACUGCAUAGAACAUGACAACGCCACAACUUUCAAAAAGAGAUUCUUAUUCCCAAUUCACAGUCACCAAACCAAGAUUACUCACAGUAAAAUUGGGAAAAGCUCUUUCUAUCACAAGAAAACAUGUUAAAGGCCCAAUCACUGAGAUACCAGUGAAUCAUCACAUAUUAAGCCGUAUUCAUAUAAUGGUGUAGAAAAAAUUAAACAUGUUAAAAUAAAAUUACAAAUUACAACUCAUUUGGAAAGAAGCUAGAGACUUACAGCUGGGAGUAGUAAGCUUAAGAG